rnacentral:rRNA from 1 species
CCUACGGGUCGCACCAGUGGGGAAUAUUGCACAAUAGGCGCAAGCCUGAUGCAGCCAUGCCGCGUGUAUGAAGAAGGCCUUAGGGUUGUAAAGUACUUUCAGUUGGGAGGAAGGCGUUGAUGCUAAUAUCAUCAACGAUUGACGUUACCAACAGAAGAAGCACCGGCUAACUCCGUGCCAGCAGCCGCGGUAGUACGGAGGGUGCAAGCGUUAAUCGGAAUUACUGGGCGUAAAGCGCACGCAGGCGGUUGAUUAAGUUAGAUGUGAAAUCCCCGGGCUUAACCUGGGAAUGGCAUCUAAGACUGGUCAGCUAGAGUCUUGUAGAGGGGGGUAGAAUUCCAUGUGUAGCGGUGAAAUGCGUAGAGAUGUGGAGGAGUACCGGUGGUGAAGGCGGCCCCCUGGACAAAGACUGACGCUCAGGUGCGAAAGCGUGGGGAGCAAACAGGAUUUGAUACCCUCGUAGUC